UAAAGAAGCUUGCUUCUUUGAUGACGAGUGGCGGACGGGUGAGUAAUGCUUGGGAAUCUAGCUUAUGGAGGGGGAUAACUACGGGAAACUGUAGCUAAUACCGCGUAGAAUCGGGAGAUGAAAGUGUGGGACCUUCGGGCCACAUGCCAUAGGAUGAGCCCAAGUGGGAUUAGGUAGUUGGUGAGGUAAAGGCUCACCAAGCCGACGAUCUCUAGCUGGUCUGAGAGGAUGACCAGCCACACUGGGACUGAGACACGGCCCAGACUCCUACGGGAGGCAGCAGUGGGGAAUAUUGCGCAAUGGGGGCAACCCUGACGCAGCCAUGCCGCGUGAAUGAAGAAGGCCUUCGGGUUGUAAAGUUCUUUCGGUAGCGAGGAAGGCAUUUAGUUUAAUAGACUAGGUGAUUGACGUUAACUACAGAAGAAGCACCGGCUAACUCCGUGCCAGCAGCCGCGGUAAUACGGAGGGUGCGAGCGUUAAUCGGAAUAACUGGGCGUAAAGGGCACGCAGGCGGUGACUUAAGUGAGGUGUGAAAGCCCCGGGCUUAACCUGGGAAUUGCAUUUCAUACUGGGUCGCUAGAGUACUUUAGGGAGGGGUAGAAUUCCACGUGUAGCGGUGAAAUGCGUAGAGAUGUGGAGGAAUACCGAAGGCGAAGGCAGCCCCUUGGGAAUGUACUGACGCUCAU
rnacentral:rRNA from 1 species